rnacentral:tRNA from 1 species
AGUUAAUGAACUUGAUAUAAGUAUAUAUUUUGAAAAUAUAAGAAAGGUAAGUAACCUAUUAACUU